CGCGAAAGUGGGCUUCGGCCCGCGAGUAGAGUGGCAAACGGGUGAGUAUCGCGUGGGUGACCUACCUUCGAGUGGGGGAUAACCUUCCGAAAGGAGGGCUAAUACCGCAUAACAUCCUGCUCUUGGACGAGCGGAGAUCAAAGCUGGGGAUCGCAAGACCUAGCGCUUGUUGAGGGGCCCGCGUCCGAUUAGCUUGUUGGUAGGGUAAUGGCCUACCAAGGCGACGAUCGGUAGCCGGCCUGAGAGGGCGGACGGCCACACUGGGACUGAGACACGGCCCAGACUCCUACGGGAGGCAGCAGUGGGGAAUUGUUCGCAAUGGGCGAAAGCCUGACGACGCAACGCCGCGUGGAGGACGAAGAUCUUCGGGUCGUAAACUCCUGUCGAGCGGGAAGAAACGCGGUCGGAUUAAUACCCCGACCGCCUGACGGUACCGCGAGAGGAAGCCCCGGCUAACUCCGUGCCAGCAGCCGCGGUAAUACGGGGGGGGCAAGCGUUGUUCGGAAUUACUGGGCGUAAAGGGCUCGUAGGCGGCCAACUAAGUCGGUUGUGAAAUCCCUCGGCUCAACCGGGGAACUGCGACCGAUACUGGAUGGCUUGAAGCCGGGAGAGGGAUGCGGAAUUCCAGGUGUAGCGGUGAAAUGCGUAGAUAUCUGGAGGAACACCCGUGGCGAGGGCGGCAUCCUGGACCGGUCUUGACGCUGAGGAGCGAAAGCUAGGGUAGCAAACGGGAUUAGAUACCC
rnacentral:rRNA from 1 species